CUGCCCAUUCUUGACAGGUUCUCUUCUUCGGUGAUUUCAAUAAUCCACAUGACGUCGGUCUUACCUACCUAAACUCAACUCUCCGCUUUGAAUAGAUCGUUUCUUUUGUAACCCAAGGAGAGGUCCAACUGAAAAACCAGUUUGACAACUAGGCCGUCCGACGUGACCGACGGCGAUGUUUGAGCAGAAGAUCGACGGACUGGAACUCGUUUCGC
rnacentral:lncRNA from 1 species